rnacentral:misc_RNA from 1 species
CACAGCAAGUCUUGUUGCUUUGCCAAGGCGAGCGUGUCUUGCAAUCACAUUAUCAAGGCCUUCCUCGAAAAGAAGGUCGAGAGCUGCUCUCAGACCAUACAAAAGUUGGAUGGAAGGAGUAUACGGCCAAUAAGUUCCCAGCUUGUAGAACUUAAGGUAAUCACUCCAGUCAAAGAAAACUCUCACUGAUUUUGCAGUUUUGCUGGCCUCAAGAGCCUUGGGGCUAGCACAGACUAUCCCGAGCCCCGUGGGAAGGGAAAGUGCUUUUUGGGAACCAGUAAGUGCCACAUCUACACCCCAUUCGUCCAUACGGAAAUCAAGUGCACAAAUUGAGGACACUCCAUCAACAAGGAAGAGGGCAGGAUGCUGGUAGUGAUCGAGUAUUUUCCUUACAGUAGCCAAGUUGUUGGUAACUCCAGUGGCUGUCUCGUUAUGCACAAUGCAAACCGCCUUGAUGGUAUGAGACUUAUCUUCUGCAAUUUUCGAGGCCAAAACCUCAAGAUUUGCACCUUGGCCCCAAUCACUCUCAACAACAUCAACGUCAAAGUUGAGACGUUUCUGUUGAUCAAUCCAAAGCAGACUGAACUGACCGAUGAGGAACGAUACAGUUCUAUCACCAGGAGACAACGUGUUCGUGAGUGCACUUUCCCAUGCACCAGUUCCUGUAGUUGGGAACAGAAAUGGAGUUCCACUAGUAGUCUUGAAAAUCUUCUUCACAUCCUCAAGCAAGGUCUUUGUGAGAGCUGGAACAGCUGGGGACCUGUAAUCUUCGUUGUUUCGGUUCAUAGCACGUAGAACUUGUUCCGGGAUAUUAACAGGUCCCGGAACAAACAAAUGGUUCCUUCCAGGUCCAUUAACAUAGUCCAUUUUCUCCCCCUUCACAAAUUCGCCUUAUUCCUGAAAUGCAG